AGAUGUGUCAGAUGGAGACUUGGUGUCCAGGAUCUAUGGAGAGCUUGUCAAACUCAACACCCAGGGGACAAAUGAUCCAGUGAAGAAAUGGGCAAGGAACGUGAAUGGACACUUCUCCAAAGAAGACAUCCAGAUGGCCAACCGACACAUAAAAAAAAUGCUCAACAUCACUCGUCAUCCGGGAAAUGCAGAUCAAAACCACAACGGGAUACCGCCUCACACCUGUCAGAAUGGCUAACACUGACAACUCAGGCAACAGCAGAUGCUGGCAAGGAUGCAGAGAAAAAGGAUCUCUUUUGCACUGCUGGUGGGAAUGCAAACUGUUGCAGGCACUCUGGAAAACAAUAUGGAGGUUCCUCAAAGGAUUAAAAACAGAACUACCCUACGACCCAGCAAUUGCACUACUAGGUAUUUACCCAAGGGAUGCAGGUGUGCUGUUUCAAAGGGGCACAUGCACCCCAAUGUUUACAGCAGCGCUAUCAACAAACAGCCAAAGUAUGGAAAGAGCCCAGGUGUCCACUGAUGGAUGAAAAGAUAAAGAAGAUAUGGAGGACAGAUGUCAUGUGACUUCACUCAUAUGAGGAUUUUAAGAGGCAGAGAAGAUGAAUAUAAGAGAAGGGAGGCAGGAAUGAUAUGUGAACAGGUAGGGGGACAAAAACAUGGGAGACUCUUAAAUGUGAAGAACAGGCAGAGGGUUACUGGAGGGGUUGUGGGAGGGGUGAUGCGCUGAAUGGGUGGGGGGCACUGGGGAGUUUACUCCUGAAAUCACUGUUGCACUGUAUGCUAACUUGGAUGUAAAUUUAAAAAUAAAAAAGAAAGAAAAAGAAAGAAGCAAUGAUUUCCAUAAACCUUUCUUCCUACCUCAAACACCUGACUGAAUUUUAAAUGUGCCCAGUCUUGAAGGAUAAAUUUGUAUUUAUAUAACAAAAUCUGGUAGAGAACUAAAAUUUGAGAGCCUGAGUAAAGGCAGUCUUGGUGUGAACUCUGGGGACAUUUUCUGACCAGAAAAAAUGUUGGAAAAAGACAUAAAUCCAUACUUUGUCUCUCCCCACUGAUUUUCAAAUACACAGCAAUGGUAGACAAAAUAAAACUUCAAAAAACAGAACUUCUCUAAAACAGCAUGCAUUUCUCAACGGGAAAAAAACAGAAAUAUAAUAAGUGAGUGGGGUUGCAACUUGGGGCAUGAUGAGCUGCUCUACGU